rnacentral:rRNA from 1 species
CCUACGGGGUGCAGCAGUGAGGAAUAUUGGUCAAUGGACGCAAGUCUGAACCAGCCAUGCCGCGUGCAGGAAGACGGCUCUAUGAGUUGUAAACUGCUUUUGUACGAGGGUAAACGCAGAUACGUGUAUCUGUCUGAAAGUAUCGUACGAAUAAAGAUCGGCGUACACCGGUCCAGCAGCCGCGGUAAUACGGAGGAUUCAAGCGUUAUCCGGAUUUAUUGGGUUUAAAGGGUGCGUAGGCGGUCGGAUAAGUUAGGGGUGAAAUCCCGAGGCUCAACUUCGGAAUUGCCUCUGAUACUGGUCGGCUAGAGAGUAGUAGAGGUAGGCGGAAUGUGUGGUGUAGCGGUGAAAUGCUUAGAGAUCACACAGAACACCGAUUGCGAAGGCAGCUUACCAGGCUACUUCUGACGUUGAGGCACGAAAGCGUGGGGAGCAAACAGGAUUAGAUACCCGGGUAGUC